rnacentral:rRNA from 1 species
UGCCAGCCGCCGCGGUAAUACGGGAGUGGCAAGCGUUAUCCGGAAUUACUGGGCGUAAAGCGUGUGUAGGCUGCGCGGAAAGUCAAAUGUGAAAGCCAAGGGCUCAACCCUUGAACUGCAUUCGAUACUCCCGUGCUAGAGUAAUGGAGAGGUAAGUGGAAUUCCUGGUGUAGCAGUGAAAUGCGUGGAUAUCAGGAGGAACAUCAAUGGCGAAGGCAACUUACUGGACAUUUACUGACGCUCAGACACGAAGGCUAGGGGAGCGAAAGGGAUUAGAUA